GGGGCAGUAGCUCAGUUGGAAGAGCACGGGUCUUCCACACCCGGGGUCGCCGGUUCGAGGCCGGUUUGCCUCUCCA
rnacentral:tRNA from 1 species